rnacentral:rRNA from 1 species
UACGUAGGGGCCAAGCGUUGUCCGGAUUUAUUGGGCGUAAAGAGCUCGUAGGCGGUUCGGCAAGUCAGCUGUGAAAUCUCCACGCUCAACGUGGAGGGGUCAGCUGAUACUGCUGUGACUUGAGUCCGGUAGGGGAGUGUGGAAUUCCCGGUGUAGCGGUGAAAUGCGCAGAUAUCGGGAGGAACACCAGUAGCGAAGGCGGCUCACUGGCCCGGUACUGACGCUGAGGUGCGAAAGCGUGGGAGCAAACAGG